rnacentral:rRNA from 1 species
CCGCUGAAUUUAAGCAUAUAACUAAGCGGAGGAAAAGAAACUAACAAGGAUUCCCCUAGUAAGGGCGACUGAAGAGGGAAAAGCUCAUACUGAAAAUCGCUUCGGCGAAUUGUAGUCUGAAGAUGCCUGACCAGUGAUGCAUUCGGGUUAAGUCCUUUGGAACUGGGCAUCAUGGAGGGUGAUAAUCCCGUUCAUACCUGUUUGUAUUCACAUACGGUCGGUAUUCUACGAGUCGAGUUGCUUGGGACUGCAGCUCUAAGUGGGUGGUAAAUUCCAUCUAAAGCUAAAUAUUGGUAGGAGACCGAUAGCGAACAAGUACCGUGAGGGAAAGAUGCAAAGAACUUUGAAAAGAGAGUUAAAAAGUACCUGAAAUUGCUGAAAGGGAAUCGAAGGAAAUCAGUGUGUAAGUUUCGACAUUUUCAUUCUUUCUGUGUUAGCGGAGGAGUGUUGUGUCGUGAUUACUGUCAGGAUGGGUUGUAUCUGCAGGAUACGGCAUGCUAGAAGGUAGUCUACCUCGGUAGAUGUUAUAGCUGACAUGCUUUGCUGUGGGUUAGAUCGAGGGCGCGCGCAAGCGACGAUCCUGACAAAAUGAUUUUCUUCACCCCGUCUUGAAACACGGACCAAG